rnacentral:rRNA from 1 species
GCUUAUGGCCAUACCACCCUGAACACACCCGAUCUCGUCUGAUCUUGGAAGUUAAAGAGGAUCGGGCCUGGUUAGUACUUGGAUGGGAGACCAGCAGGUCCACCAGGUGCUGUAAGCU